rnacentral:pre_miRNA from 1 species
GUUGGAACAGAGGAAUCCAUUCAGAUCUGUUUCGCAACACCAUAUUGGGUUCGACUGAAACAGAUCUAAAUGGAUUCCUUAGUUCUGA